rnacentral:rRNA from 1 species
CAGUAGCCACGGUAAUACGGAGGGAGCUAGCGUUGUUCGGAAUUACUGGGCGUAAAGCGCGCGUAGGCGGUUACUCAAGUCAGAGGUGAAAGCCCGGGGCUCAACCACGGAACUGCCUUUGAAACUAGGUGACUAGAAUCUUGGAGAGGUCAGUGGAAUUCCGAGUGUAGAGGUGAAAUUCGUAGAUAUUCGGAAGAACACCAGUGGCGAAGGCGACUGACUGGACAAGUAUUGACGCUGAGGUGCGAAAGCGUGGGGAGCAAACAGGAUUAGAUACCCCGGUAGUCCCUGUCUCUUAUAC